GCUAAGGAUAAGCAGCAUGGUGGAAGUUGUCUCUCUCCCAAGGCCUGAAGAAAGAUGAUCUAUUCAUUAUUGUAAAUUAUUCUUCAAAGGAAUGAUUUGAGUACUUCUUCAUCUUCAGGUCAAUGUGCCUUUCCAUGGAGUUCUACGGGGAGAAGCCUGGACAGUGGAACAAGUCAGGCAUCACACUACGUCUCUAAGAACAUACAGUUGAGACCCAUUUCAUCAUUGCAACUGACCUAGGCUAAUCCAGACACAGAGCAACUGAUGGAAAAGAACCUGAAAUGUCAACCAAGAAGAGAGCAGGAGAUAAAAGGAGGCUGCUACCAAGGAAUCCAUUAAGUCCAACAUCCAGAUGUGGGGGAGAGGCUGCAGGGCUAUUCUGGAAUAGUGCAGCAGGGUCACUGCUACUCACCACUGGAGCUGCCCGGACAUGCCGGCUGUGCCACCAGCACACCAGGGACUGGAUCUUCUUACUCCAGCAGCUGGUGGCAGCAGUUGAGAGCUGGGUGGCAUGGGAGCAGGUGCAGUAGCAGGAUUCUUUCCUCACCAUCAUCAUACAUCUAGGGGAUGAGCCUGAGAGAUGCUGAGUCCUCUUAAUGCCCAGCAGCUGCCUUGGACACAACACAUGAAGAUAUCAGUGUAAGUCAGGACUGGUCUCAUAUGAAGUAUGAUUUGUACAGGGUACAUCUUCAGUGCAUCUCUGAAUGCAGCUGGCAACAUAGCCAAAUGAUUAAAGUGGAUCUUGAUUUUGAAUGAAAUGAAGUGUAGUUAUGGUACUUUUAGCAGAAAAAUAAAAUAU